UACGGGGGGGGCAAGCGUUGUUCGGAAUUACUGGGCGUAAAGGGCUCGUAGGUGGCCAACUAAGUCAGACGUGAAAUCCCUCGGCUUAACCGGGGAACUGCGUCUGAUACUGGAUGGCUUGAGGUUGGGAGAGGGAGGCGGAAUUCCAGGUGUAGCGGUGAAAUGCGUAGAUAUCUGGAGGAACACCGGUGGCGAAGGCGGCAUCCUGGACCAAUUCUGACGCUGAGGAGCGAAAGCCAGGGGAGCAAACGGG
rnacentral:rRNA from 1 species